UACAGAGGUGCCAAGCGUUAGGCGGAAUCACUGGGCUUAAAGCGUGUGUAGGCGGAUCGUUAAGUACCUUGUGAAAUCCCACGGCUCAACCGUGGAACUGCUGGGUAUACUGGCGAUCUUGAGCCACCUAGGGGCGAGCGGAACAAACGGUGGAGCGGUGAAAUGCGUAGAUAUCGUUUGGAACGCCAACGGUGAAAACAGCUCGCUGGGGGUGUGCUGACGCUGAGACACGAAAGCCAGGGGAGCGAACGGG
rnacentral:rRNA from 1 species